rnacentral:lncRNA from 1 species
AAAAUCUAAUAGUCAUGGAAUGGCAAGUAGUGGCAAUGUCUAAACAAUCAGUGUAGGUGGAUAGAUUCAUGACCAGAUGAAAUGGUCAUGAGGAGGAAAGAAAAUGAAUGAUUGAUGAUUUUUUUUUUCAGGACCAAAAUCAGGGUAUGACAGUUGCCCCUAUUUAAACAUCCUCCACCAGAGGAAAAUGAAAUAGCACUUUUCA